rnacentral:rRNA from 1 species
GACGUAGGGCGCGAGCGUUGUCCGGAUUUAUUGGGCGUAAAGAGCUCGUAGGCGGCUUGUCGCGUCGACUGUGAAAUCCCGCGGCUCAACCGCGGGUCUGCAGUUCGAUACGGGCAGGCUAGAGUUCGGUAGGGGAGACUGGAAUUCCUGGUGUAGCGGGUGAAAUGCGCAGAUAUCAGGAGGAACACCGAUGGCGAAGGCAGGUCUCUGGGCCGAUACUGACGCUGAGGAGCGAAAGCGUGGGGAGCGAACAGG